UACGGAGGGUGCAAACGUUGCUCGGAAUUAUUGGGCGUAAAGCGCGCGUAGGCGGUGCGGUCAGUCGGGUGUGAAAGCCCUCGGCUCAACCGAGGAAGUGCAUCCGAAACUACCGCACUCGAGUACCGGAGAGGAUGACGGAAUUCCCGGUGUAGAGGUGAAAUUCGUAGAUAUCGGGAGGAACACCAGCGGCGAAGGCGGUCAUCUGGACGGAUACUGACGCUGAGGCGCGAAAGCGUGGGGAG
rnacentral:rRNA from 1 species